GACGAACGCUGGCGGCGUGCUUAACACAUGCAAGGUCGAGCGGUAAGGCCCUUCGGGGUACACGGAGCGGCGAACGGGGUGAGUAACACGUGGGUGACCUGCCUCUAGCUCUGGGAUAAGCCUGGGAAACUGGGUCUAAUACCGGAUAUGACCUCACGGCGCAUGUUGUGGGGUGGAAAGCCUUGUGUGGCUAGAGAUGGGCCCGCGGCCUAUCAGCUUGUUGGUGGGUGAUGGCCUACCAAGGCGA
rnacentral:rRNA from 1 species